CUGUGAGUUUUCUAAGAGUGUCUCAUAUCUAAAACUCCUUCUCCUACUUCUCAUUUUUGAAAAAGUCUAAAUCAAGAAGAAAGAGGUAUCUGAUCGACCAUCGAAGAAGCAUCAGCACAGUACUAGCAUACUGUGCUGAUUUUCUGGACCAGGACUUCUGAUCGUGAUUCGUGGGCUCGUGUGGAUGACUCCUAGAGGUCGGACGUAUGUGUGGCUUGCAACAUCAUCCUCAAGUCCAGAUCAACAAAGUUAGAAUGUCUAACUUGCAAGAUAAUAGAUCUGAUCUAUUAUAUUUUACAUAUAUUAGAUGUAGUAUAGAAACAUGUUGAUAUGAUC
rnacentral:lncRNA from 1 species